rnacentral:rRNA from 1 species
CGCGUAGGUGGCUGUUUAAGUCAGAUGUGAAAGUCCACGGCUCAACCAUGGAAGUGCAUUUGAAACUGGGCAGCUUGAGUACUGGAGGGGGUAGUGGAAUUCCCGGUGUAGAGGUGAAAUUCGUAGAUAUCGGGAGGAAUACCGGUGGCGAAGGCGACUGCCUGGCCAGAUACUGACACUGAGGUGCGAAAGCGUGGGGAGCAAACA